UCGGGAAUUUUGGGCAAUGGGCGAAAGCCUGACCCAGCAACGCCGCGUGAAGGAUGAAAUCCCUCGGGAUGUAAACUUCGCAAGAACAGGAAGAAUAAGUAAGGGUUAAUAUCUCUUACGAUGACGGUACUGUUUGUAAGCUCCGGCUAACUCCGUGCCAGCAGCCGCGGUAAUACGGAGGGGGCUAGCGUUGUUCGGAAUUACUGGGCGUAAAGCGCGCGUAGGCGGCUUUGUAAGUUAGAGGUGAAAGCCCGGAGCUCAACUCCGGAACUGCCUUUAAGACUGCAUCGCUAGAAUUGUGGAGAGGUGAGUGGAAUUCCGAGUGUAGAGGUGAAAUUCGUAGAUAUUCGGAAGAACACCAGUGGCGAAGGCGACGACCUGGGCCAAUACUGACGCUGAGGUGCGAAAGCGUGGGGAGCAAA
rnacentral:rRNA from 1 species